rnacentral:tRNA from 1 species
UGUCGGAAUUGUCUCGCAUAACCACUCAGGCUCAUAACCUGAAGGUCGCAGGUUCAAAUCCUGCUCCCGCAA